rnacentral:rRNA from 1 species
GCCUAAAGCGUCCGUAGCCGGCUCUGUAAGUUUUCGGUUAAAUCUGUACGCUCAACGUACAGGCUGCCGGAAAUACUGCAGAGCUAGGGAGUGGGAGAGGUAGACGGUACUCGGGAGGAAGUGGUAAAAUGCUUUGAUCUCUCGAUGACCACCUGUGGCGAAGGCGGUCUACCAGAACACGUCCGACGGUGAGGGAUGAAAGCUGGGGGAGCAAACCGGAUUAGAUACCCGGGUAGUCCCAGCUGUAAACGAUGCAGACUCGGUGAUGCGCUGGCUUGUGGCCAGUGCAGUGCCGCAGGGAAGCCGUUAAGUUUGCCGCCUGGGAAGUACGUACGCAAGUAUGAAACUUAAAGGAAUUGGCGGGGGAGCACCACAAGGGGUGAAGCCUGCGGUUCAAUUGGAGUCAACGCCAGAAAUCUUACCCGAAGAGACAGCAGAAUGAAGGUCAAGCUGGAGACUUUACCAGACAAGCUGAGAAGUGGUGCAUGGCCGUCGCCAGCUCGUGCCGUGAGAUGUCCUGUUAAGUCAGGUAACGAGCGAGAUCCCUGCCUCUAGUUGCCACCAUUACUCUCAGGAGUAGUGGGGCGAAUUAGCGGGACCGCCGCAGUUAAUGCGGAGGAAGGAAGGGGCCACGGCAGGUCAGUAUGCCCCGAA